rnacentral:rRNA from 1 species
AGUGAACGCUGGCGGCGUGCUUAACACAUGCAAGUCGAACGAGAACGGGCUAUAGCUUGCUAUAGUUGUCAGCUAAGUGGCGCACGGGUGAGUAAUGUAUAGAUAAUAUGCCUCUUACUAAGGGAUAACAAAUGGAAACGUUUGCUAAUACCUUAUACUCCUUAUUAACAGAAGUUAAUAAGGGAAAGAUUUAUUGGUAAGAGAUUAGCCUGUAUUGUAUCAGUUAGUUGGUGGGGUAAUGGCUUACCAAGACUAUGACACAUAACUGGUUUGAGAGGAUGAUCAGUCACACUGGAACUGAGACACGGUCCAGACUCCUACGGGAGGCAGCAGUGGGGAAUAUUGCACAAUGGACGAAAGUCUGAUGCAGCAACGCCGCGUGGAGGAUGACACAUUUCGGUGCGUAAACUCCUUUUAUAUGAGAAGAUAAUGACGGUAUUAUAUGAAUAAGCACCGGCUAACUCCGUGCCAGCAGCCGCAGUAACAC